rnacentral:lncRNA from 1 species
UCUCCUUCUCCUUCUCCUUCUCCUUCUUCUCCUCCUCCUCCUCCUCCUUCCCCUUCUCCUUGUUCUCCUCCAGCUGGUCUCCCCAUUUCCCUGCUUCAGCUCCUCUCUCCCGCAGCCAGGAUUUGCUCUGUGGUUUUUGUGGAGCCCCUUUGGGUGUCCCCGAUCCCGGUGGCUCUGGGAACUCUCAUUCCCGGCUCCCUGGAGCCUCCCAAGCCCCCGGGGCCACCCCAAUCCAGAGGGAAGGGGUUCGGAGCUGCCGAGCAGGAUUUGCCCAGCUCCGGAGGCUCCGGCUCAGGAUCUCAUCCCGGUUUUUUCCCAUCCCCAGAUAUCCCCGAGGUUGAGGUGGCCCUGGAGAACAACCUGGUGAGACAUCGGGGAGCUCCUGCCCCAUCCCAAAGCUGCACCUCUCCGUUCCCUCCCCAUCCCAGUAUUCCCGGGCUUUCCUCCCUCACAAAUUCCCACAUCCCACCAGGCACUGCUCCAUCCCUGGGGGAUUCUGUAACCACGGCACCCAGAGCCAUCCCAAACCCCCCGUGCCUCAGUUUCCCCAUUCCCAAGGGUGGGACCCAAGUCCAUCCUAACUCCCGGCUCUUCCCGCAGGAAGAGGAUCCAGCCCACCCCAAACCCCAGAGCAUCUCCCCCAGCCUCGAGGAGAUCCACGUGGAGCAGCCCGUCCCGCUGUGCUGCUGGGCGUCGCGGCCAUUGCCCGCCGUGGACCGUGGCAGCCAGGUGUCCCCCAAGAUAAUGAAGCUGGAAUGUGACCACGAGCCGGGCCCCAGCCAUCCCAAAUUCCAGUGGGAAUUCCAGACGCAGCCCGGCCCCUCGGCGGCACCGCACAACUGCGCCCGCGCCGGUGACGCCGAGGGUGGCAGCAUCAUCAUCUGCAGCUCAGAUGACAGUGAUGAGGACACCGUGGUGGUGACGGUGACACCGGAGCCGUGCUGACAUCCCACCGGAUCAUCCCGCAAUUCCCGCAAUUCCCAUUCCCAGAAUUCCGCUUGGGCUUUCUUGGCCAAUCCCAAAUUUAUUCCUGGACUGAGCCUCCGGUGUUCCGGAGCAGCUCCAAAUGCGGCCGGGAUCUGCUGGGAUCUCCCUUCGGAGCUUUGAGGUUUCCUGGGAAUCUUGUUCUCUUCUUAAAUCACACCUGGUUUGAUCCCAAAAUAAAAUUUGGGAUGGGAGUCGGGAUUCGUGCCGG